ACUCCCAACCCAAUGUGAACGUUACCAAACUGUUGCCUCGGCGGGAUCUCUGCCCCGGGUGCGUCGCAGCCCCGGACCAAGGCGCCCGCCGGAGGACCAACCAAAACUCUUAUUGUAUACCCCCUCGCGGGUUUUUUACUAUCUGAGCCAUCUCGGCGCCCCUCGUGGGCGUUUCGAAAAUGAAUCAAAACUUUCAACAACGGAUCUCUUGGUUCUGGCAUCGAUGAAGAACGCAGCGAAAUGCGAUAAGUAAUGUGAAUUGCAGAAUUCAGUGAAUCAUCGAAUCUUUGAACGCACAUUGCGCCCGCCAGUAUUCUGGCGGGCAUGCCUGUCCGAGCGUCAUUUCAACCCUCGAACCCCUCCGGGGGGUCGGCGUUGGGGAUCGGCCCUUUACGGGGCCGGCCCCGAAAUACAGUGGCGGUCUCGCCGCAGCCUCUCCUGCGCAGUAGUUUGCACACUCGCAUCGGGAGCGCGGCGCGUCCACAGCCGUUAAACACCCCAAACUUCUGAAAUGUUGACCUCGGAUCAGGUAGGAAUACCCGCUGAACUUAAGCAUAUCAUA
rnacentral:rRNA from 1 species